GGCGCGGUGGCCAAGUGGUAAGGCAUCAGUCUUGUAAACUGACGAUCAUGGGUUCAAACCCUGUCCCUGCCU